ACGAGAAAUAAAUUUUGAGAUUGGGAAAGGAAAAAGCGAAAAGUGGAAAGAAACUGUGAUUUAAUUCAAUCAAGGAUAUACUCCGGUAGUGAUUCAAAGCGAUGAAAAGUUCUAAAAAGGGUAAUUAAAACCAAAGGCGACCGUGAAGUUGUUAUCUGAUUGACAGAAUUAAAUCAAUUUCAUCGUCAUCAUGUGUUGCAAUACCACUACCAGGGACAUCAAAGAUGACCUGGACUUCAGUGCAUAUGCAGAGGAGAGUAGCACUAAAGAAAGCCAAUAAAAUCCUUUUGGAGUGGAAUUGAGACACAACAAUUCAUUUCUGGUUUAGUUAUAAAACUGCUACAAACUAUAAACUAUUCAUGAUGAUGGAAUACACCAAUGCCUAGUACAAUCAUGGCCCAUUAGAAACCAGAACAAACCAUGACUGCAAAGGAAAUAAGAUGCACAUAGUCUGAAAGAUCUGGCUGGUGUUCUGAAUAAGAUGACUGCAGAAGUACAGCUGGCAUGUAGGGGUUUCACCAGCACAUCUUGAUGUAUUGUACAAAAGAUUUGCUUACACACCACCUGUUUAUAGGAUGCACAAUCUUCUUGCAGCCAUAGAUUAUAAUAUACAUGCAAAUAGACCAUACAUCACCAACAAGGGGGAUCUGUUAGACUUCAGCGAGUCUGGAUGAAUUAAAGAAGAAGAAAAAGUAUCAUUAUACCAUUUUUCAUGAUGCUAUAGUAUAACUCUGAGAAUUAGUGACAUGGAGGGGAUAUAUAAAAUAGAAAGUUAGAGGAAGAUGACCCCCACAGACUUUCAAAAUAUUUGGCCCAAGUUAGCCCGAAGCCUACCCGAGCCAUUCAUGAGGAACAUAAAUCAAGAUAUUAUUGACUUUUUAUGGGAAAGAAUGAUAAAUAGUGUUGUGUUACACUGAUUGCCCAACUAUUCAAACAUAUUUAAGCUGACAUUGAACACCUGGUAUUCAUGAUAGUUUUAUGAAAUAUCUUUUUAGAUAUGGCACUGUAUCUAUCUUGUUUCGAAAAAAAAUCUCUUGAUUCAUUUGUCAUGACUCAAGGUCUGUUUUUAAUAUUUUGUCAGAAAAAUGACUACUUUUUAUACAAGUGCAAAAUAUUAUCCAAUCUAUUAAAGUAUAAGUGCUGCUAUGAGCUUUAAUGUAGUAACAAAGUUAAAAGUAUUAUUCAAUUAUAUCUUUUGAUAUACAUGUACUAUGUCAUUCACUUUAGCUCAGCUUUUCUUUUUUUUUUUUUUUUUGAAAAAAGAAAUAGAGGUUGCUGCCGUUGCCUUCUGCAAACUUGAACCUUGUUCAUAACUUUUAAAGUUCUUGGUGUAUUGUCUAACCUUGGCCUUCUUUCAUAAUUGACCUUGACCUUCAAGGUUAAAUGUCUAAAUUUUGGCUUUGCUUGUUAUUUGCUAUUAGUGGCUUUAACUUUAUUGCCCUUUGUUAAUUUUCAUAUUUCAUUUUUGUCUUGGCCAUUUCUCCUAAACUAUAUUGUUCACAAGGCAACACAUCCGACUCGCGGAGAUCUAGUUGUUAUUAGUCUAUGAAUUUUUUGUAGUCCAAUCUAGUUUAUUAGACCAAUGACACAGGGGCAUUUUAUAUAAAAUCCUUGUUCAAUCAAACAAGGCAAGCCUUAAAAUUAUCUUUGUAUUUACUCCCUCAUCCCAUUCCAGUUUAGAUAGGAUAGGUGGGCUGAUAAAAUAUUUAUUUUUGUGCCCCCACUUUAGUGGCGGGCAUUUAGAUUUACCCUUGUCCGUCCGUCCGUAUUUCACCUAGAGUCAUGAAACUUUACUGUAAUGUUGAUCAGCAAGUGUAGUUGUUCACCUUGGUAUUUUCAUCUGGAUAUUUUUAGUAUUUUCAGAGUUACUGCCAUUGAAUUUUUGCAAUUUUCAACUUGUGUCGCAUGUUACUCAAGAAGUAUUUGA